GAGUUUGAUCCUGGCUCAGGAUGAACGCUAGCGGCAGGCUUAACACAUGCAAGUCGAGGGGUAUGGUAGCAAUACCAGAGACCGGCGCACGGGUGCGUAACGCGUAUGCAAUCUACCUUUUGCAGAGGGAUAGCCCAGAGAAAUUUGGAUUAAUACCUCAUAGUAUAAUUGAAUGGCAUCAUUUAAUUAUUAAAGUCACAACGGCAAAAGAUGAGCAUGCGUCCCAUUAGCUAGAUGGUAAGGUAACGGCUUACCAUGGCUACGAUGGGUAGGGGUCCUGAGAGGGAGAUCCCCCACACUGGUACUGAGACACGGACCAGACUCCUACGGGAGGCAGCAGUGAGGAAUAUUGGUCAAUGGGCGCAAGCCUGAACCAGCCAUGCCGCGUGCAGGAUGACGGUCCUAUGGAUUGUAAACUGCUUUUGCACAGGAAGAAACAACAUUACGUGUAAUGUCUUGACGGUACUGUGAGAAUAAGGAUCGGCUAACUCCGUGCCAGCAGCCGCGGUAAUACGGAGGAUCCAAGCGUUAUCCGGAAUCAUUGGGUUUAAAGGGUCCGUAGGCGGUUUAGUAAGUCAGUGGUGAAAGCCCAUCGCUCAACGGUGGAACGGCCAUUGAUACUGCUAGACUUGAAUUAUUAGGAAGUAACUAGAAUAUGUAGUGUAGCGGUGAAAUGCUUAGAGAUUACAUGGAGUACCAAUUGCGAAGGCAGGUUACUACUAAUAUAUUGACGCUGAUGGACGAAAGCGUGGGUAGCGAACAGGAUUAGAUACCCUGGUAGUCCACGCCGUAAACGAUGGAUACUAGCUGUUGGGAGCAAUUUCAGUGGCUAAGCGAAAGUGAUAAGUAUCCCACCUGGGGAGUACGUUCGCAAGAAUGAAACUCAAAGGAAUUGACGGGGGCCCGUACAAGCGGUGGAGCAUGUGGUUCAAUUCGAUGAUACGCGAGGAACCUUACCAAGGCUUAAAUG
rnacentral:rRNA from 1 species